UCUCAUCRUCGUAYGUGGUUGUACUGCUCGUCGUUGUCGUCAUCCUUGUCAGUAUAUGGAGGGAAAUAUGGUGGAAGUGGUGGAUGAGUCUGUGCCUAUUGAUGGAGCUUUUUUCCGCCACGAUAUUUCCUCUUGAUUCAUUUACAACCACCCAGCCCUUUGAGUUUUGUUCUUGCACCAUAUUGCUCUCCAUUCUUCCACCAUAUGUCCCUCCAUAUACUGAUGAUGACAACGAGGAGCAGUACGGCUACGUAUGGCUACGUAUGACAA
rnacentral:pre_miRNA from 1 species